UAAUGAAAAACAAUUCCCUCCAGAAGAAGAUAAAGUUUUCUAAUGUUUACGUGGCUUGUGGAGAACUGAAGACUACCUAGUUUCUGAUUUAUUGAGAGCAAAAAAAAACUAAAAUAAUUGUUAUUAAAUAGAGAUUUCAUAUAAAACUUGUAUGAUUCCUAAAUCUCAGUAGGAGCCACUGGCCCUGAGGUAUUCUGACAACAUCAAAUGUGGCCCUCUUUGAAAGAAGUUUGGACACCACUGCCUUAGUGGAUCAGGGUUAAAGCACAGCAGCAUUGCACUGGUAGGAAAAUCUCAGUUUGAUUAUCAGCUAGGUAAGUAAUCUGAUACUACAUCAGUAAAAGUGAAAUAUUGCUUUACAUGACUUAAAAUUUUAACACUUAUCUGAAGACUGACAUUAAGGGUCAAGGAAUGCAAGUAGCGUCGACCCUGCUCAUAUUUACACAACAGUCCGAGGCUUAACAUAUUUUUCAUUUCAUUUUAUGUUUUGUUAUUGUGGAUACAUUCCUAUUGGCAAACCACAGUGUGUGUAUUUUGAGCUGAGCUGAAUAUGGGUACCAAAAAACAUGGUCACUCUCUGCACAGAGGGGGAACAUUCCUCUCUCUUAAAGAAUCCGAGGCUCUGCACAGUCAGACUGAGUCCAGCUGACUGCCACAACCGCUGGAUUCGGCUCUCUGGCUGCCCAAACCAUGCUGCUACUGGAAGCUGGACAAUGGUGGGAAGGCUACCCGCAACUAUUUUUCCUUGAGUCUGACAACACUAUCAACAUGAUGUUCAAGACAGAUACAUCUGUGUAAUGAGGAAGUCUCUGUUCUUCAUGUAACCAUCAGAUUUUCAGGCCACUUUUGUAACAAUGUGCCUCAGCUUGCAGACAGAUGUUAAUACUGAUUCUUUUUGGGAUAAACAUGUUUUUUCAUCAUGUUUUAUGACAGUGGAAUGAACAAAGGUAUUAAAACUGUUGAAAAUUA